GGCGAACGGGUGAGUAACACGUGAGUAACCUGCCCUUGACUCUGGGAUAAGCCUGGGAAACUGGGUCUAAUACCGGAUAUGACUCCUCAUCGCAUGGUGGGGGGUGGAAAGCUUUUGUGGUUUUGGAUGGACUCGCGGCCUAUCAGCUUGUUGGUGAGGUAAUGGCUCACCAAGGCGACGACGGGUAGCCGGCCUGAGAGGGUGACCGGCCACACUGGGACUGAGACACGGCCCAGACUCCUACGGGAGGCAGCAGUGGGGAAUAUUGCACAAUGGGCGCAAGCCUGAUGCAGCGACGCCGCGUGAGGGAUGACGGCCUUCGGGUUGUAAACCUCUUUCAGUAGGGAAGAAGCGAAAGUGACGGUACCUGCAGAAGAAGCGCCGGCUAACUACGUGCCAGCAGCCGCGGUAAUACGUAGGGCGCAAGCGUUAUCCGGAAUUAUUGGGCGUAAAGAGCUCGUAGGCGGUUUGUCGCGUCUGCCGUGAAAGUCCGGGGCUCAACUCCGGAUCUGCGGUGGGUACGGGCAGGCUAGAGUGAUGUAGGGGAGACUGGAAUUCCUGGUGUAGCGGUGAAAUGCGCAGAUAUCAGGAGGAACACCGAUGGCGAAGGCAGGU
rnacentral:rRNA from 1 species